rnacentral:rRNA from 1 species
AUUGAACGCUGGCGGAAUGCUUUACACAUGCAAGUCGAACGGCAGCACGGGGGCAACCCUGGUGGCGAGUGGCGAACGGGUGAGUAAUACAUCGGAACGUGCCCAGUCGUGGGGGAUAACGUAGCGAAAGCUACGCUAAUACCGCAUACGAUCUCUGGAUGAAAGCGGGGGACCGCAAGGCCUCGCGCGAUUGGAGCGGCCGAUGGCAGAUUAGGUAGUUGGUGGGGUAAAGGCUCACCAAGCCGACGAUCUGUAGCUGGUCUGAGAGGACGACCAGCCACACUGGGACUGAGACACGGCCCAGACUCUUACGGGAGGCAGCAGUGGGGAAUUUUGGACAAUGGGCGAAAGCCUGAUCCAGCCAUUCCGCGUGCAGGAUGAAGGCCCUCGGGUUGUAAACUGCUUUUGUACGGAACGAAACGGUCCUGGUUAAUACCUGGGGCUAAUGACGGUACCGUAAGAAUAAGCACCGGCUAACUACGUGCCAGCAGCCGCGGUAAU